GUGGAUGUUUUAUUUGAUAAUGUAAUUUCUAGCAAAGAGAUAACUCUCCUUUAAAAGGUGCAAGAGAUGCUUUAACGUCUUGGCAUUGUAACAUAAUAUUAAUCCAAUUAAAUUUCUAUAACGUAUGCAGGCUAUUGCGGCUUUAAAAACACUUCAUUACGAUGGGGGAUUUUCUCUGGAUUAUAGAUAAUGCAUCCAAUAAAUGAAUGAUCAAAUGGUUUUUUCUGGGAAACCAACUUUCUCGCUAGAAUGUUUCCAUUUUUCUUAAAAUCGAUAUCUGCUGCAGGACUCCUAAAUGUUCUGAAAAACAGCAA